rnacentral:rRNA from 1 species
UACGGAGGGCGCUAGCGUUGUUCGGAAUUACUGGGCGUAAAGCGCACGUAGGCGGCUUGGUAAGUUAGAGGUGAAAGCCUGGAGCUCAACUCCAGAAUUGCCUUUAAGACUGCCGAGCUAGCAGGUGAGAGAGGUGAGUGGAAUUCCGAGUGUAGAGGUGAAAUUCGUAGAUAUUCGGAAGAACACCAGUGGCGAAGGCGGCUCACUGGCUCAUACUGGACGCUGAGGUGCGAAAGCGUGGGGAGCAAACAGG